rnacentral:rRNA from 1 species
GACGAACGCUGGCGGCGUGCCUAAUACAUGCAAGUUGAGCGAUGAAGAUUGGUGCUUGCACCAAUUUGAAGAGCAGCGAACGGGUGAGUAACGCGUGGGGAAUCUGCCUUUGAGCGGGGGACAACAUUUGGAAACGAAUGCUAAUACCGCAUAACAACUUUAAACAUAAGUUUUAAGUUUGAAAGAUGCAAUUGCAUCACUCAAAGAUGAUCCCGCGUUGUAUUAGCUAGUUGGUGAGGUAAAGGCUCACCAAGGCGAUGAUACAUAGCCGACCUGAGAGGGUGAGCGGCCACAUUGGGACUGAGACACGGCCCAAACUCCUACGGGAAGCAGCAGUAGGGAAUCUUCGGCAAUGGACGAAAGUCUGACCGAGCAGCGCCGCGUGAGUGAAGAAGGUUUUCGGAUCGUAAAACUCUGUUGGUAGAGAAGAACGUUGGUGAGAGUGGAAAGCUCAUCAAGUGACGGUAACUACCCAGAAAGGGACGGCUAACUACGUG